UACGGAGGGUGCAAGCGUUAUCCGGAUUCACUGGGUUUAAAGGGUGCGUAGGCGGGUUGGUAAGUCCGUGGUGAAAUCUCCGAGCUUAACUCGGAAACUGCCGUGGAUACUAUCAAUCUUGAAUAUCGUGGAGGUAAGCGGAAUAUGUCAUGUAGCGGUGAAAUGCUUAGAUAUGACAUAGAACACCAAUUGCGAAGGCAGCUUACUACACAACGAUUGACGCUGAGGCACGAAAGCGUGGGGAUCAAACAGG
rnacentral:rRNA from 1 species